ensembl:lincRNA Mirg miRNA containing gene
CUCUGCCUCAGAGGUCUUCUCAAGCCACUACUGUUCCCAAGGAUGCCUAAUUGCAAUGCCAGCUUCUGGGGUGAACAUGGACCCACUGUCAUCGGGCAAGGUCUAGGAUGGACAUGGAUACCCACCAUCUGGGAGAUUCCAGAGUGGACGUGAACCCACCAUCAUCAGGCAGCUUCAUGGAGUAUUCAGAAGCUGGCGGGUGUCAUCUGGAGGAUGUGACUGGGUACCAGUGCCAGAGCACGUGCCCACUGAGCAGUCUUCUUCACUUUCCUCGAUCCUCAUGAAACAUUCUGGGAUCUUUACCUCAAAGGACUCCAGAGGCUACAUCAUUGUCUUGGAACUGGUCAGUGGCUGGAGCUCUCUCCAGGACAAGUGCUUGGAGGAAGAACCUGGACAAGCUUCCCUCCCCAUACUGUUGACUGGAUCUUGUAUCUACCGUUAGCCACCAUCAUCGCCAUUGUGUGCCUCUUAGGAGCAUUUCCAGGAGGUGAUGCCAGCUGGGGAAAGAGCCUCUGUCCCACAGCCGUCGGUGCCCGCUGCAGCCUGCGCCCAGGAUGUCACAGCCUCAGCUCAACACCUCUGCUGGACAGCUUCAGGUGGUGAUUCCAGCUCCAGGGUUGCUGCGGUCAACACUGGGUACUUGAGGAGAGGUUGUCUGUGAUGAGUUCGCUUUAUUAAUGACGAAUAUAACACAGAUGGCCUGUUUUCAAUACCACCUGCCACUCCGGUCACUCGGCAGUACAUACCAGGUGUCACACCACUGCCCGGCAGGUGACAACGCUGAAUUGGUCCUCAGGAGCGGAUGUUCAAGGAACCCUGCCUAUGCUCCAUGCCAGCUGCCAGUCCUAGGUUGGGACAUUCCACUGGGGACAUCCAUGGGAGAGCUAUGGCCAUUAACAAGUCCUGAGCCCUGACCUGAAGCCAUCAGUGGCCUAGCUGCUCUACCUGACUUUGUGGCCUCUCUUCCUGGAUCUCUCGCUUACGACAACCGACAACAAAGAUGUUUGGCUCCAGAAGAUGCUCCCCGCGGCCCACCUGAGAGGACUGUCCACACCCCACCCCACUGCGCCCUGUGCCAUCUACCUCUGAGUCCCCAACUUCUCACCCAUGUUUCAACUCCCACCCCAGAGCCUUGUAUUCCAGAUCUGAGCAGCCCUUGCUUAGGAACCUGAGGUGGGGGGUGGGUAGGCAGACCCAGGGGACUGAGUAGGGAGGGGAAGGAGGGGUUUCUGCUCUUGGCUUUCAAAGUUCUCAGUGUGUGUAGCCCUUUGAAUAAUAAACAUAUGUCAUAUAAUGUAAA